ACAUGCAAGUGGUAGGAAGCCGAAAGGUGACCGACCCUUCGGGGAGGCUUGCACAGGUGCUGCAUGGCUGUCGUCAGCUCGUGUCGUGAGAUGUUCGGUUAAGUCCGCUAACGAGCGCAACCCUCGCUGUGUGUUAUAUGUGUCACACGGGACUGCCGGUCUUAAGCCGGAGGAAGGUGGGGAUGAUGUCAAGUCAGCAUGGCCUUUAUAUCCUGGGCUACACACACGCUACAAUGGCCAACACAAUAGGUUGCUAAGCCGCGAGGUGGCGCCAAUCCAUAAAGUUGGUCUCAGUUCAGAUUGUAGGCUGCAACCCGCCUGCAUGAAGAUGGAGUUGCUAGUAACCGCAGGUCAGCUAUACUGCGGUGAAUACGUUCCCGGGGGCUU
rnacentral:rRNA from 1 species